CUGUGACUCCUACGGGAGGCAGCAGUGGGGAAUAUUGCACAAUGGGCGCAAGCCUGAUGCAGCAACGCCGUGUGAGUGAAGAAGGUUUUCGGAUCGUAAAACUCUGUCCUAAGGGAAGAAACAAAUGACGGUACCUUAGGAGGAAGCCCCGGCUAACUACGUGCCAGCAGCCGCGGUAAUACGUAGGGGGCAAGCGUUAUCCGGAAUCACUGGGCGUAAAGGGUGCGUAGGCGGCUUGACAAGCCAGGGGUGAAAGGCAUUGGCUCAACCAAUGUAAGCCUUUGGAACUGUUAAGCUUGAGUGCAGGAGAGGUAAGUGGAAUUCCUAGUGUAGAGGUGAAAUUCGUAGAUAUUAGGAGGAACACCAGUGGCGAAGGCGACUUACUGGACUGUAACUGACGCUGAUGCACGAAAGCGUGGGUAGCGAACAGGAUUAGAUACCCUGGUAG
rnacentral:rRNA from 1 species